GGAUAAUAAAAUAGGAUCUUCACAAUAUAUUUUAUUGGUUUAAAUUGCGUAUGAAGAUAAUGAUUAAUAGGGACAGUUGGGGGUAUUCAUAUUGGGUGGUUAGCGGUGAAAUGCUCGGAUCCAUUCAAGAUGAACUAAAGCGAAAGCAUUUACCAAGGAUGUUUUCAUUAAUCAAGAACGAAAGUUAAGGGAUCGAAGACGAUUAGAUACCGUCGUAGUCUUAACUAUAAACUAUGCCGACCAGGGCCCUGUCCUAAUUUAAGUCGUCUACAGAGGAUUUGUGUCAAUAAUAAUUCGAAUUAUGAUUCAGCUCUUACGAACCAACUCUGUUCCAAGAGGUCGCUUAAGCCAUUUAUUUGAACUAGGUAAAAACCUAUGCUUUUUCAUUUUAUUAUUGAUUAGACGUUGUCUUUCCUAGCAUGGA
rnacentral:rRNA from 1 species